GCCCCUCCCUGCCUUUGAACUCACAGAAGGGUGGGGAGGGGCAGCGUGUAGGUCAGACAAGACAAUGCUGAGUGAAAGGUACAGGGUGGUGGUCUGGCAGAGGGGCCGUGAGGACAAGAAGUGCCCACAGCAUCCUAGACAUAGGUCCACCGCCUCAACUCCAGCUCGCUCCCUCUGGACUCAGAGUGUAGACAAACGCCUGUGAGGUGCCCUGAGCCCUUUGGAGAUGAUCACUCCGAUCCGGUGCCCAGGCCGGUUGGCCAAGCACCCUGGGAGCCUCAGUGCCUGGAAGCGGCCCUGGAUUUUCUGGACCUCUGAGGGCCCUGGGUGGAGGAAGCCCACGUCCUGAGUGCGUCUGGACGUGCGGGGUGAG
rnacentral:lncRNA from 1 species